ensembl:snRNA U6 U6 spliceosomal RNA
GCCCCCACUUUGACAGCCCAUAUUCUAUAACUGGAAGGAUGUGGAGAAGAUGAGUAUGGCCCCAGGGCAGGGAAGACAUGUAAAUCUGUGACGUGUCCUAUGGUUUU